rnacentral:lncRNA from 1 species
GUCAUUUAAAGACAGUGUCUCCCUCCGGGUGGAUACCUCCUGACCCGGUCCACAGCCACAUUGGUUCUGGAAGUGGAAUGCCCAGAAUCAAGCAAGGUUUAGGCCUUAAUUUGGCUGUUGCCGUAUCAGAAUCAGGGCCUCAGAAAAAAUAAACUGUGGGGCUUACGGUAAGUGUCACUCUUUGGUGAAGCCACCGCAAAGCUUCCCAAGCGCCGCCCUCGAACCCAGGCUGGCUUCCCACUAAGAACAUGGCUGUCCCACCGCCCUCAGAUUGGCCUGAGAACUGCUUUUAUUAAUAAAUCUCUGGAAACUGAGAUAAAAUUCGCGCAAGAGAAUAACAACAUACUUCGAAAUUUAUAUUGAAAUGAAAUCACCAAAAACGCUGGAAGAAGACUCUUGUUGAGAUUUGCUGCAAUGAAUAUGAGCUCCUGCCUGAUCAAACAACCUCUCAAACCUUAGGGCAAAACCUGCACUGGGCAAAACCUCAGCUUGUGGCUGAGAAGGAUAUCCGCCACAGGGCUCCUGGCAAGGGUACAUUUCCCGGCGAGUGAAGAGAACCAAGGCUUGAUCAAAAAUUCGUGGUGUGUUUACAAGAAGAAAAAUAAGGGAUGAGGUGAAGCAAAUUCCACAAACAUCCCAGCAAUCAUGAGCAACUCCUUUUGAAUGGUGUCUACUGUGAUCUCUUAUAGCGUGAUGUGCACAUACAUACAGAAGAAUAAAUGCAUUGCACUUCACCCACUGUGUUCUCACACACAAAGGAAUGUUUUCCAUGUUGAAAAGAAAAACCCAGCCAAAACAACAAUAAAAAGAAUCAACACAAAAAUCCAAAAUCCAGGAGGCUCUAGUUUAUGGGAACAGGAAUGCAUUUAAUUAUUUCAAAGAUUGUUACCUUUGGGCUUGUGGGCAAACCUAGGGAUUGAAUACUGUCUACAAACAAGCAGCUUUCCAAUAAAGUGCAGUAUUAUUGCAGUA